UUAAGCAUAUCAAUAAGCGGAGGAAAAGAAACUAACAAGGAUUCCCCUAGUAACGGCGAGUGAAGCGGGAUGAGCUCAAAUUUAAAAUCUGGCAGUCUAAGAUUGUCCGAGUUGUAGUCUAGAGAAGCGUUUUCCGCGUAGGCCUGUGUACAAGUCCCUUGGAAUAGGGCGUCAUAGAGGGUGAGAAUCCCGUCCUUGACACAGAUCAUCUAUGCUUUGCGAUGCGCUCUCGAAGAGUCGAGUUGUUUGGGAAUGCAGCUCAAAAUGGGUGGUAAAUUCCAUCUAAAGCUAAAUAUUGGCGAGAGACCGAUAGCGAACAAGUACCGUGAGGGAAAGAUGAAAAGCACUUUGGAAAGAGAGUUAAACAGUACGUGAAAUUGUUGAAAGGGAAACGAUUGAAGUCAGUCAUGUGGUUCGAGAUUCAGCCGGUUCUGCCGGUGUAUUUCUCGAGCUACAGGCCAGCAUCAGUUUCGACCGGUGGAAAAAGUUGGAGGGAACGUGGCAUCCUCGGAUGUGUUAUAGCCCUCUUUCAGAUGCAUCGGACGGGACUGAGGAACGCAGCGUGCCUUUAUGGUCGGUCUUCGGACACGAACGCGCUUAGGAUGCUGGCAUAAUGGCUUUAAACGACCCGUCU
rnacentral:rRNA from 1 species